rnacentral:rRNA from 1 species
GGCGAACGCUGGCGGCGUGCUUAACACAUGUAAGUCGAACGGAAAGGCCCUGCUUUUGUGGGGUGCUCGAGUGGCGAACGGGUGAGUAACACGUGAGUAACCUGCCCUUGACUUUGGGAUAACUUCAGGAAACUGGGGCUAAUACCGGAUAGGAGCUCCUGCUGCAUGGUGGGGGUUGGAAAGUUUCGGCGGUUGGGGAUGGACUCGCGGCUUAUCAGCUUGUUGGUGGGGUAGUGGCUUACCAAGGCUUUGACGGGUAGCCGGCCUGAGAGGGUGACCGGCCACAUUGGGACUGAGAUACGGCCCAGACUCCUACGGGAGGCAGCAGUGGGGAAUAUUGCACAAUGGGCGGAAGCCUGAUGCAGCAACGCCGCGUGCGGGAUGACGGCCUUCGGGUUGUAAACCGCUUUCGCCUGUGACGAAGCGUGAGUGACGGUAAUGGGUAAAGAAGCACCGGCUAACUACGUG